AACUAUCAGCAGAGUAGAAAAAAAGAAAUCAGUAUUUGGAUUGGCACUUCCAAUAGUGAUCAACGAAGGAGAAGACAAGUUUGGAAAAUCUGCUGGCAAUGGUAUUUGGCUGGACGAAGAAAAAAGUCGCCAUUUGUUCUUUAUCAGUUCUUUUUGAAAAUGCCAGAUUCUGAAGUCGAGAAGCUUCUCAAGUUGUUCACUUUUAUCCCACAAAGAAGAAAUUGCAUUUCUCAUUGAAGAACACAAAAAAUUACCAGAGAAGAGAAAAGCACAAAGAAGAUGUGACGCUUCAAGUCUAUGGAGAGGUAUGUCUAAAACAAGACGAAAAAGUCACAGCGGCGCUCUAUAAGGGAAAUGUUGAAGGACUAGGUGAACUGAAUUACAACGAAAUCCGAUCGUUGAGAUUUUUUCAGAGCCUGGACUAUCCAUUCUUGAUCUGGCACUAAAAGCUAAAUGUUUUACAACUGAGACUGAUGCAAACAGAAUCAUCACAACUGAAGGGUUCUAUAUCAAUCAAAAGUAAAUGUAGUUUAUGUGUUCCGUUCCCAUUUUCAUAUGUUUUGUAUUUUAUUUAUUUAUUACA